rnacentral:lncRNA from 1 species
CCCCGCCUGUCGUCUUCCUCCCAUGAGUUGGCCAAUGACAUGAAAAUACAACCAAAGGCAUAUACUGGUUCGGGCAUGUAGUCCAACUUCACAUACUAUAAGAAACACCAUCAUUUUAAAAUAAUGAUACAUGUUUGCAUAUAUAUACACGGUAGCAAACUUUUCCAGAAUAAAACACUUGCAGUUAAAGUACAUUGAACUUGGAUAUGUGACCUUGGUGCGCUUUUUGACAGGCGAAAUUGAUGUGUCGGUCGCCGAGUCUAAAUUUAAAAAAUCCCAUUUAGUAUAUAUUGACAAAAAAUAUGGUAUAGGGAUCUUUCUCAAAAGAAAUUGAUAUAUAUGUAUUACCUUGUACAACAAGUGCAGAGUCUAUAUCCCAAUAAGAAUCUGCGCCGAACUUACAGUUUCAAUUUAUUGAACAUUGUAAUAUAAAACAUUAUUCAUAAUAGGCUAAACACAAAUCAGUAUUAGCAGAGAAUAUAUAGAAUUAUUCAAUCAACAAAAACAAAAACUAAGCCCAAUAAUGUAAUGAACUUUGUCGAACUUUUCAUUUAUCGUUUAUCGUUCACAAUAAUUUUAUGUACAUUUUUCAUUUAUCGUUCACAACGUUGUCGAACUUUUCUCCUAUUUUGUUGAUUUUUUUCGCUUCUGUAAUGAACCUUUCUCAUAAGAUUCUUCCUUUAUCAUUCUGCCUAGCCAUGGAUAUAUGAAUCGUAGCUUUCCAAUUCAAUAGAAGAAAAACAUAAUUAAGCCAAGAAUGUUUCCUUUAUCAAUCACGCUGCCCAUGGACAUAUUCGACAAACACCAGAUCUUAUUUCAAAGAGAUUUCUAACAUUUAUGAGUUCUGGAAGUUAAGAAAUCGUUGAAAUACUAGCAAUAUAGACACAAUCAAGAAAUCAUGAAUCCUAGUUUCAUAAACAAAUUUAAUCGUCGAUAUCCAUCACGCGCCGAACACAAAAAAGAGGUAAAACAAAAAUUACCUUUAGAGUUCUCGACAUCCAUCGCGUGCCGAACAGAAAACAACGUUUCGAUAAAAAAAAGAUUAAGAAGAUAUUAUUCAGGAUUUCAAAGAAAUAGAUUCGUCGAAAUCUGUUAAUCAACUCCAUUAACAUUGAAAGAGCAAAAAUGGUGGGAUUUG